GCCGAUGUGGCGGAAUUGGCAGACGCACUUGACUCAAAAUCAAGCGGUGAAUAACCGUGCCGGUUCGAGUCCGGCCAUCGGCACCA
rnacentral:tRNA from 1 species